ensembl:lncRNA
UCACCAGCAGCAGCAGUAUUUGUCAACUGUCAGCUAAAACAUACUGGUAAAUAUUCAGAUUAAAACUGAAGUGUUUUCUCUUUAUGCAGUCUGAAGAACAACUGUAUCACAGAAGGAGGGUGUCAUGUUCUGGCUGCAGCUCUAAAUUCAAACCCUUCAAAUCUUACAGAGUUGGAUCUGAGUGAGAAUAAACUAGGAAACCCAGGAAUGAAGAUCAUCUCGACUCUGUUUGAAAAUGUACAGUGUAGACUGGAAAAGCUGAAGUUAAACUGCAUCAGUAUUACAGAUGAAGGUUGUGCUGCUCUGUCAUCAGCGUUUAAUUCAAACCUCAGAGAGCUGGAUCUGAGCAGGAAUCAAAUAGGAGACUCUGGAGUGACAGAAAUCUCCAGUCUGCUGAGAAAUUCACAGACACUACAGAUACUCAGGUCUGAAUUUGGUUAAUCUAAACAUGAAUCAAUGUAAAGCUCCAGCUGGUCUGUAAACUGAUGCUGUGUCACAAGGAAUGGGUCAGUGAUGUGAAAUUGGUGUGUUGGUGUAGAUACACUUAUAAAAUAUUGACAAACAGAUUGAUUUUUGAGAUGAUGGGAAAUGUUAAUAUCUUAAUGGUGUAAUACAUGUUUUUAUGUAUGUAUUUAUUUAUUAAUUCAUUCAUUCGUUCAUUAGUUUGGUCUUUCUGUAGACUUUCAGACUGCAGUAUCACUGAAGAAGGUUAUA